rnacentral:lncRNA from 1 species
CAGUGUCCAUCGUGGUGAUCAGAUGGCACCAGGACCAAAGGAGCCCUGGCUAGUGUGAGUCAGAGCAGUGCAGGGGGGGAGACCCCGACGGAGAGCCCACCUAAGCUGAUGUCUGCAGAUGGAAUUUCCAGAGCCUGAGGAUGUGCAUGUUCUCCG